rnacentral:lncRNA from 1 species
AAAAAAAUAUAUAUAUACAUAUAUAUAUAUAUAAAAUCUGGUUAAGGAGAGAAGACGUAAUGAGGGGAUAGAUACUGGGACUACUUAUAUGUAGUAAGCUAUUCUCUAACAGCAGUAAUCUGUACCUGGCUACAGUUAGUCAAAAUAUUAAUAACAACCUGAGUCAUUCUGGUUCCAAACUUCCCUAAUUAAACAUGGUAAAUACAGUCAAGUCUUUGGGCAAUCAGGGCAUACACUGGAAGUUUCAGUCAUGUCAUUGGAUCCAAAAUGAAUUGUUUCUAAUAGCUGUGGUUUUAAAAUAAGGAACUACUGUGUAAGUUCAACAUUCUUUCAUGUUAAUCUUCAAAGUGAAUAUUUAGGAACACCAUACCAUAUAAUCCUAAUACAAAUUAUCCAAAUUUUUUUUAGUAAUUUUUUUUUCAGGUGCCAGAAAUCAAACUUGGGACCUUCUACUUGCAAGGCAGGUGGCAGAACCACUGAGCUAAUUCCCCAGCCCAGUAUUUCUUUUUAAUACUGAGGAUCGAAUUCAGGACCUUGUGCUUGUGAGGCAGGUGCGGCGCCACUAAGCUAAAUCCACGGCCCACAAAUUAUCCAGUUAAAUUUUAAAUUUAAACCUUUUGGAAAGAAAGCCAUGAGGUUGUCUAUCCCAGGUUGAUUAACUUGGGACUUACAUAUUGCCUAAUGAAUUAUGGUGAUUUGAAUAAUCUAUUUAGAGGUUUUUUUCAACUAAUGGUACCCUAAUACUCAUUUCAAUAAUACCUGCAAUUGCAUAAGAAAAUAAUAUUCUUGGCCUGUUCUGUGGCCUGAUCCCGUUAGAGCCUUCCUCUUUUCCCAAACACUUGGUUAGAAGUGAUAAUUAACCAGUAACUAUGCCCAAAAUGCCUUUUCUUUUGAAUUCAAUCAAAUUCUAUCUGUACACAUACACCCAGAACAUAAAACUGAGUAUGCCGGUCUGUUUCUCCUAAUUUUAUCUUCCUUAUGAGACUGGCUCUGAAAGUUAAGGAAAAGUCAAAGGUUCCUAAUACUUUGAGUCUUGGAUGUCUUUCAGAAUUUGAUAAAAGACUCUGGACCCUCUGAUGCAUACAGAUUUAAAAAUACAAGGGAAAAGGGGGAUUCUGUGACAGAAAAGACAAGAUUUCACAUUAUUUUAUUCCAUCCUCAGAUCUGAGGGCAUUGUUUUACAGAAAGAGACACUGAAAUUAUUUCUGUCAUUAUUCAAGAGCUUGAAUAUGAAUCCAGACAUGACUCCAAACUCCAUGCUCCUUCCACUCUUCCCUGCUGCUCAUAAAGCAUAAGACAAAAAAAAGAAAGAAUGCAUGCUUAAUACUAACAAGGAAUUUGAGGCAGACUUACAGAUUAUGAAAGACUGCAAAAACCACAUAACCCUAUCUUCAUUUUAAUGUGAUUUCACCUUUCACCAACAUUGGUAUUUUAGCUAGCAAAAAGGCAAAUGUUUUAAGAGGGGAGAAACUAACCACAUUAAGUGUGAAUCCCAAAUUCAGCAAUUUGACCUGCUGUCUUCGCUUAAUCAUCUAAUCUUUCAGUUCCUUAGUUUCCUCAUCUACAAAAUGGGAACAAUAAUUAUUGCCACCUCUUAAGAUUUAUGGUGAAAAUUAACUGGGAAAUAUAUGCAACUCAUUUAGAAUAAUGCUUAGCAUGUGAGAGGAUACAAAAAUGUUAAUCAUUAUCCUAUUCCCCAGUCAGAAGCCCUAGGCUCCAUACUCCUCCACAGUAAUCCCCUAUACCCAAACUUUAAUUUUAGAUCUUUAAUAAAUGUGUUGUUUGAAGCCCUGUGUAUUUAAAGAGGUAGAGAAGGAAUAUUCACCACAUUCUGAGCUUUUAAUAUAUAAGUUCUGAAUCAUUCCACUUAAUAAGUACAUAGUUCAAGUCCUAGUGAUACAGGGGAAAUAAUAUAACUCUCAACCUGCUAGGCAUCAGAUAUGCCAAGUUCAUGUUCCCCAAAAUUGAAGAAUGAAUUUUAAGGAACAAUGGAGGUGAAGAGUAGGAAAAAUUUGAGAGAAAUAGUUCCUGAGAGACAAGAGGGGACCUGAAAGUGGGUUGCCACAGACCCCACCUCACAGAGGAAGUUUUAUAGAGCAAAAUCACAAGGUGGGUAUAAUGUGGAUCAAAACUAUGAUCAACCAAUAAAAGUACAAGUUUAGCGACUUAUGUAAUAUUGAUCCAAUGGGGGCCAGGGAUUUAGCUCAGUGGUGCCGCUGCCUGCCUUGCAAGCUCAAGGUCCCAAGUUCGAUUCCCUGUACCAGAAAAAAAAAAAAGAGUAAGCAGAACUACCAAGAUAUAUUAUGUAAAGGUACAAAUUUCCAAUGAUGAAUGCCAUUAUACUGUAUGCCUAAAAUGUAC